rnacentral:lncRNA from 1 species
AUGUCUAUACGGUUCGAUUUUCAAAAUUUCAUUUUCUCAAUGGUAUCUCUCUAGAUAAACAUACGUUUAUAUAAUAUGUACUACACAUGUUAUGUCACAUUAUGUGCCACAUAGUAAACAAGUUAUAUCUCAUUAGUAGGUUGAUUGUGAUAUAGAUGUUUAGGAUUAAAAUCAUGAAAAUUCAACCGUUUGAUAUAAUUAUGAUAGUGAAGUAUAGCAGUGUAACAAAAUUCAUAAAUUUUCAGAAACGUUUAGGUAUCGAUCAACUCGGUCAACCAUAAAUUCAACAAUAUUAAUUUUACAUCACACAUCAGUAUUAAAAAAUAACCGUUGUGGCACUACAAUAGGAAAUUUAUUAGGGUUUUUUAGGGUUUAGGGUAUUUUAGGGGUUAGAGGUUACGAAACAUACAACGUAAUAUUGAAAAUAAUUGUGUGAUAUACCUUCACACAACAUUGCUUAGUUGAUUGUUGUGGGAUGAAGAACUUAAAGUAGUAUUGUCAAAUCUAAGAGAAGGGCUUCAUCGUGACACGAAAAUACAUUAUACAACCAAAACUGAAAAGUCGUUGUGUGAUUGUUGAAAAUACUAUACUCUCACACAACAGGUUUGAGUGUUCCGUUAUCCUUCACAAAAAAUUUAGGUUUUCAGAGGAUGUAAGAGCAAUUUUAAAACUAGAAAUCUGCAACCUGGCAUGAGAGAUAUAUCGUACAACAGAUGUAUAAAAAGUAUUGUGUGAUAGUUUAAAUUGUAUACAUUCACACAACAUUUAUUUGUUUCACUAUUGUGUAACAACACCCAGUUAUAUGU